AGCGAACGCUGGCGGCAGGCCUAACACAUGCAAGUCGAACGAACUCUUCGGAGUUAGUGGCGGACGGGUGAGCAACACGUGGGAACGUGCCUUUAGGUUCGGAAUAACUCAGGGAAACUUGUGCUAAUACCGAAUGUGCCCUUCGGGGGAAAGAUUUAUCGCCUUUAGAGCGGCCCGCGUCUGAUUAGCUAGUUGGUGAGGUAAAGGCUCACCAAGGCGACGAUCAGUAGCUGGUCUGAGAGGAUGAUCAGCCACAUUGGGACUGAGACACGGCCCAAACUGCUACGGGAGGCAGCAGUGGGGAAUCUUGCGCAAUGGGCGAAAGCCUGACGCAGCCAUGCCGCGUGAAUGAUGAAGGUCUUAGGAUUGUAAAAUUCUUUCACCGGGGACGAUAAUGACGGUACCCGGAGAAGAAGCCCCGGCUAACUUCGUGCCAGCCGCCGCAGUAA
rnacentral:rRNA from 1 species